CCGCUGCUGGGCCCCGGCCCGCAGAUCUCGCUGCUGGCCGAGGCUGGCCGAGGCUGCAGUGCCAGAGCUGCCGUGCGGCGUGGCACUGCCAGGGCCUCCCGGCCGGGCCGGGCUGGAGGCGCCCACACCUGAGGGAAAGCCCGCCAUGGCAGCGCCGGGGCCGCUCCUACCCCGGGGCCGCCGGCAGGAGCCACGGCUGGGACGUGCCGACAGACCGGCACUGCUUGCACGUCUUCAGUAGAUGGAGAUGGUGCCCGUGACUAGGCUGCAGGGCUCCAGUGUCAAAGGGCUUUGAAAAGUAUAAUCGUUUUGAUGCCACUGGGUUUUACCCUCUCCUAUAACGGGUGCAAUAAAUUCCUCUCUUGGAGGGUUUGGAGGACUGCUGUCUUCCUCUGGCCAAGUUAUUUGAUACCGUGAAUUACGGCAGAAUUAGCCCAUGGCAGAAUUACAAGACUCUAAGUACUAUAAAAUGAAAUAAUUUUUUACAUUCUUCUGUCUUUCACAGACUGUUUAAACUUAUG